rnacentral:rRNA from 1 species
UGUAGUCAUAUGCUUGUCUCAAAGAUUAAGCCAUGCGUGUCUAAGUAUAAGCAAUCAUACUGUGAAACUGCGAAUGGCUCAUUAAAUCAGUUAUCGUUUAUUUGAUAGUACCUUUACCUGGAUAACCGUGGUAAUUCUAGAGCUAAUACAUGCUAAAAACCUCGACUUCGGAAGGGGUGUAUUUAUUAGAUAAAAAACCAAUGCCCUUCGGGGCUCCUUGGUGAUUCAUAAUAACUUAACGAAUCGCAUGGCCUUGCGCCGGCGAUGGUUCAUUCAAAUUUCUGCCCUAUCAACUUUCGAUGGUAAGAUAGUGGCUUACCAUGGUCUCAACGGGUAACGGGGAAUUAGGGUUCUAUUCCGGAGAGGGAGCCUGAGAAACGGCUACCACAUCCAAGGAAGGCAGCAGGCGCGCAAAUUACCCAAUCCCAAUUCGGGGAGGUAGUGACAAUAAAUACUGAUACGGGGCUCUUUCGGGUCUCGUAAUUGGAAUGAGUACAAUCUAAAUCCCUUAACGAGGAACAAUUGGAGGGCAAGUCUGGUAAUCGAAUUCCCG